UGAUGGCUAGUGAUACUACCACGAAUGAAUUUGGAUCAUUAAAUGGAGUUGAUAACUCCGCCCUCAU
rnacentral:tRNA from 1 species